UACGGGGGGGGCAAGCGUUGUUCGGAAUUACUGGGCGUAAAGGGCGCGUAGGCGGCCUACUAAGUCAGACGUGAAAUCCCCAGGCUUAACUUGGGAACUGCGUCUGAUACUGGGAGGCUUGAGUGCGGGAGAGGGAUGUGGAAUUCCAGGUGUAGCGGUGAAAUGCAUAGAUAUCUGGAGGAACACCGGUGGCGAAGGCGGCAUCCUGGACCGACACUGACGCUGAGGCGCGAAAGCUAGGGGAGCAAACGGG
rnacentral:rRNA from 1 species